UUCCCCUUAGCUCAGUUUGGUAGAGCGGGCGCUUUGGGAGCGUCAGGUCGAGUGUUCAAGUCACUCAGGGGAGA
rnacentral:tRNA from 2 species